rnacentral:sRNA from 1 species
GCCAGCAGCAAGUCCGAAAACACUGCGAGUGGAAAAACUGCAAGUGUUUGCCUCUCCUAAUUACACAAGCGCUUCCAGGUUGUAAGAGGCGAGAGGCCAGCCUGUUCUCACCGGACAUGUGGUUUCCACGCUGUCUCAGCCUGCCGCGAAGCAAGCAUGACAGCGUGUGACUUAGAUCUGAUGGAGAAAAGAAAAUUCUAAACCAGAAGCAUUGAAGGCAUGGAUAAAAGUGGAUGAGGAGAUGCGGAUUAAAGGUGAAAACUCACUUAAAGUUUAUGAAGCAUCAAAGAAGAACUUGGGAAACUCAGAAAUUAAAACCAACGCAAGGUCUGCCUUCUACACCUGUGCGAAAAAUAUCCAGUGGUUUGGGAAGCUGUGGCCAGCAUGGGAAGUGCUCCGGAGUGCCUCUGUCCCUACCUGCAGACUCUCUGGCUCACCAGAGAGUUUGGGAAUCUCCAUUGGCUCUCUCCAUUGUGACUGUCUCCGCCAUGUGCUGUGCAGUGUUUCUGACCAUGCUGCCCACUCACUUAUGAAAUCAAAUGAAUUCUUCUAGGGCUGCCAGGAUCCAGUGAUGCACAAAGCAGGCCUUGUCCCCGCCUCCAGGAAGCUUGCCCUGAGUACAUAGCCAUCAAUUGGGCUAACAGAGAUAUCAUCUUGACAGCUUGAAGCUGGUUUCUUUGGUGGGUUUUGUUCAACUGAAUGUUCAUAGUUAGUUGAGCUCCGUUAAUGUGAUGUCCUGCACCACAAUAGCAGGUGAUUUGGCCUUUAGAAACAUAUUCCUUUUACUCCAUGAUAUCCCAACUUCCCCCAAUUCAAAGGGGCAGGAGCCUGACUCCAAGGCCAUGGAGCAGGCAGGGCUACUACUCUCUCCCUUCUUUCUCCCUUGAAAUAAUUAAGUAUAUACUUGAUGUCUUGUUAUUCCUGACCCAGAAGCUCUGCGUUUCUUGGUAGUACCCCUCCUCUUCUAGCCUGUCAGUCCUUUCUCUUUGAUGUCACAUUGAAUGGGAAUCAAGAAAUAAAUGUCUAUUGAGGGUUUGAGUUACUGUUAAUAAAAUUUGCCUUUUACCAUGAAAGUCUACUUCUUUAACAAAGAAUCUUUUGGAUAUUAAA